rnacentral:rRNA from 1 species
GCAGGCUGCAACUCGCCUGCAUGAAGUCGGAAUUGCUAGUAAUCGCGGAUCAGCAUACUGCCGUGAAUACGUUCCCGGGCCUUGUACACACCGCCCGCCACACCAUGAGAGUUGGGAAUACCCGAAGCCUGUGAGCUAACUUUACGAGGCAGCAGUCGAAGGUAGAAUCAAUGAUUGGGGUGAAGUCGUAACAAGGUAUC